UCGACCUCAGAUCAGACGAGAUGACCCGCUG
rnacentral:rRNA from 5 species